AAGUCGUAACAAGGUUUCCGUAGGUGAACCUGCGGAAGGAUCAUUAUUGAAUUGUGAAUGGGGCUUAGAUGCUGGCUUGUCCAUCCUUUGGCUGCAUGUGCUCGCCCCAGCAAUCCUUUUCCAAAACCUGCUGCACCUUCCUUCGUGAGAAUGGGAGAGAAAGGGCUUGCCAUCUUUAUCUUCGUUCUUGCAAUGAUUCAAUAAACGCUUGUUUGUAAAUGUUGAAUGCAUUUAUGCCGUCAAGGCUUUAACCUAAUACAA
rnacentral:misc_RNA from 1 species